GUCCUGAGGACCAGGACUGAGAAACACUGAUAAAAUCAGUCAUCUGAAGUCUGAAGAAAAAGUCUGAUUAAAAGUGUUAUAAUCAAUAAGUGAUCAGAUCCUGAGUCUGAACAGAAACCAGUCCAUCUGAAGGCCAGGAUCAGGAGAUGCAGAUCAAUACACUGAUCCACUGGUCCUCAUCAGUGGUGGUCUAGUGGUCACAGACCACUAUGGUAACUCAUCCAGGAACCAGACCGGCUGGAGGGGGACCAGGUCUCGAUGUGGUCCAGUCAGAGUCCAGACCUCAACCUGACUGCAGGAACCAGACUGGCUGGAGGGGGACCAGGUCUCGAUGUGGUCCAGUCAGAGUCCAGACCCCUUCCUGACUGCAGGAACCAGACUGGCUGGAGGGGGUCCAGGUCUUGGUGUGGUUGGAGUAAAGUAGUUUACUUUAUUAGUUUGUUCUUAAUAAGAGUUUAUGUGUGCUAAUGUGUUAGCAUCAUCAAAGAUGUUCCUGUUAACCAGCUUAUUUUUUACAGAGAAGAUCUCUGGUUUCAUCAGAAAUGAUGCGGUUCAGUCACUUUAUGACACUGCUGGUAACAAAGAGCCUAAAGAUCCAGUUUAAACCGGUUCUAUGCUAAGUUUUCCCUGGUUCAACCCACGAGUUAGGAGCCAUUUUAUCCUGAAGGAUUCCAAGUUUAGUGGUUUAACAAC